AAUAGAGCAAAUGAACAGAUGUUCAGCCAGCUGAUACUGAUGCCCUCAUGCUGAAAGCCUGAUGAGGACCAGGACCUGGACCUGGACUGUCAUCCCAACACUUUUCAUCGUUUGCUGAUCCUCUGCAUUUUCCUCACUGCUCUCAAACUCUGCAGCCACAUCUUGAUCCUGUUCACCCUGGGCUGAUGCUUUCAGCAUGGCAGCUGCCACAGGGAGAUUCAGGAUUCAAAUAUGAAGAUGUCUAUGGGAGUGAAGAAGAAUGACAAACUUUUCAAGGAAAAAUAGAAGAUAGAAGGUGGUUGAGAAUAGGAAGGAUGGCUGAGGACAGUUCCAGAUGACAUUGUCUAUGCUUUGGACCAUUCCAGGGAAGCUGGGAAAGCUGGUUCCUAUCUACAGGGCUGUCUGAACUCUUUUUGCUAUCAUGAUGCUGAGGUCUAUCUCACUGCCAGAUGAGAAGCAACUCAAGAAAUUGGUUCCAUGCCCCCAGACCUCUUUUGGGAGGAAGAAAUAAAACUGAAGAGAAAUGAAGUAAGCCCAAAGAAGCAGAGGUUUCCCUCCUGGCUAAAGUUUGUUGGUACCACCCACUAACAUGGGGGAAUCAGACAGCUCCCCAAGCAAGCCUAAGGCUGGCAUGAGGGCAUGAACAACACAUCUGAUCUUUGUUUGUCUUUCUCAGGAGCCACCUGGGCUGGCCUGAACAACCUCACUUUGUAUACUAUUGUCUUAAACUGGCCAUAGUUCUUGAUAGAGCAGGAAAAAGGAAUAAGGCUAGAAGGUACAGAAUUUACUUGAUAAUUCCUUUCCUGUUGCAAUGUACAAGUCUUUACUUACAUUAUGUUAAAUUUAAAAAAAACAGGCAAACCUCAUCAGAAAUGUUUACUGCCCUACCACUCAUGCAUUGCUCCCAACAAGGCUAAUUAAGCCCAUUGCUAUUAGAGUUACACAUUUCUGAAGGCUUGUUAUGACAAGAAAAAAUAAAUGAAACUAUGGUUUCUCCAAGUUGUAAGCAUA